AAUCAGAUUGAAAGACCCCCGGAGCGGGGAGACCCUCACUCAAGUCUCGGGAUGACAUGACCACCCAAGAACUCAUGAGAGUCA
rnacentral:pre_miRNA from 14 species